UACGUAGGGUGCAAGCGUUGUCCGGAAUCAUUGGGCGUAAAGAGCUCGUAGGCGGUCUGUCGCGUCUGCUGUGAAAACCUGGGGCUUAACCCUGGGCUUGCAGUGGGUACGGGCAGACUAGAGUGCGGUAGGGGAGACUGGAAUUCCUGGUGUAGCGGUGAAAUGCGCAGAUAUCAGGAGGAACACCGAUGGCGAAGGCAGGUCUCUGGGCCGAUACUGACGUGAGGAGCGAAAGCGUGGGGGGAGCGAAACAGG
rnacentral:rRNA from 1 species